rnacentral:lncRNA from 1 species
UCUAAUGUUAUAAGCCCUAAUGCUAUAAGCAUCUAUAUAAGUUGUUUAUCCAAACGGGGCCCAAGUCCAAUUCAUCGAACACCACUCUUCUUCCUUUUAAAUCUCUCUACCAUGAAAAAAAUCAACUUCCCUUAAAACACAAAUUGCUCCCUCGUCGUCACACUCACCCGUCAGUAUCUCACACCUCCAAUCAAACUCCAGUUGUCCCACAACUCAGGUAACCACAACCACAACGUUGUUGUGCUUUUCCGAUCGAUCAAGAAUAAGGAUUUAUCCAGAUCAAUAACUUCCUUAGAUCUUGAAUAUGACACUCACAACAAAUUAUUUCUACCAAAGAUUAACAACACACAGAGAUUGGGAAAAGUGAGAGUACUAGUUUCACAAAAUUUGUAUUAUGUAACGAGAUUCAAGGCAUAAUUGGCUUUGUUCUCGAAAAAAAAAACAUAAAAGAGGGAUGGUUUUGGUUUUGAAGUUUUACGCAUGAU